rnacentral:lncRNA from 1 species
CUUCCCUUGAAAGCCUUGGGAAGAGAAACUUGGGGAAGUUGGGAUUUAGAGUGAAAGCCUCAGUGCUUGGCAAGCCCUGGAUGAGUUUUGGGAUGCCUUGUGCUGUCAGGAGCAGGAGAAGAUGGUUCCAGCUUGGAAAACAAGUGAGGAGACCAAAGCAACCUCCCCUCAAGGGCCAGCAGUGGGACUGGAAGGCUCUUCCAGGUCUCAGGAGAAAUCCCAGAGAACGGGACCUGCAGUGGGAGAGCAGCUCUUGGAGACCCAGAAUGGAAUUGGGGUCCCAAGUGAAGGUGUUGCUGGUGGGGUUGCAUCCCCCUCUGGAGAUCCCUUGGAGAGGGAUGUGGGGCUCAGAGGUGUGAGGGAGAGUGAGGAGAAGGAGCUGGAUCCCCCUAUCCCACAGCAGGAAGAGCAUUCCCAAGCCCUGAAAAGAAAAAGAGGGAAGAAACAAGAGGAAAAUAAGCAGGAAAAGGGAUUGAAGAGAAAAAGAGGGAAAAAACAGGAGGAAAACAAGCAGGAAAAGGGAUUGAAGAGAAAAAGAGGGAAAAAACAGGAGGAAAACAAGCAGGAAAAGGGAUUGAAGAGAAAAGGAGGGAAGAAACGGGAGGAAAAUAAGCAGGAAAAGGGAUUGAAGAGAAAAAGAGGGAGGAAGGAUAAAUCUGAGGAUUUGGUGGAUGGCAUUGAGGAGGAAGAGGGGGAUGAAGGCAGGAAUUGGGAAGGGGAACAGGGAAGAGCCAAAAGACAGAGAAGCAACAGCAGCCAGGGAUGGGAUGAUGGGAAAAAAAAGCAGGAGAAGGGGAAAGCAAAGAAGCACAGGAUGGGGAAAGUGAAGAGGGUGGAAAAGGUGGGGAAGAGGAAAAUGAAGAAGGAAAAAUUGCUGAAAGAGGAGCAAGAGGUGGAGAAAGAUGAGGAGGGAGAGAAAAGAGUGGAAGGUGAAGAGGAGGAGAAGGUGGGAAAAGGAAGUGGAGAUGGAAAAGAAAUAGAGAAGGAGGAAGAGGUGGUUGAGAAAGGGGAGGAAGGAUUGGGAGAGACUAGGAGUGCAGGGAUGGGGCAGGAGGUGAAGGUGGACAAGGAUAAUGGGAAGGGAGAUAUUCCAGGGAAAGAGAAAAAGAGGAAAAACAAGAAGAAAAAGCCAAAGGGGGAAACAAAAGAGACAAAGAGUGAAGAGGAGGAAAUCCCAGGGAAAACUUGGAAAAGGAAAUCUAAGGAAGGAGAAGAAAAUAAAGAGGAAGAAAAGAACAAUAAAAGGACUAAAAAACAGAAGGAAGAAGAAAAAGAAGCGGAAAACAAAUGGAAAUGGUAAAUUCCAGUGUGCCUUUGGCAGGUCUAACCCUGGGACUGGGUUUUAAAUUUUAUUUUGUGGGACAAAACAGUGAACAUUCCUAUUUUUUGGCUAUUUUCCUGUAUUGCCUUGAGCCUUGAACUCGCCACUCUUGGAAAUGGGUGAGAGAUCAGGGAAGGAGACCCUGAAUGCACAGCAGGA